rnacentral:lncRNA from 1 species
UGCCCUUGCCCCGACCCCCGCCCCGUCAGCUCCAGCUCAGGGGCUGAGGCUGGGGGAGAGAAGGGGAUCCCUAGGCGCCCCCAGUACAUGGCGGGGGGACGUGCGCCCCCGGUCCCUCGCGCUUCUCACCUGAAAUUGGGAGGCGACACGAUAUGCAACCCCAGGAAUGGGGAGGCCCCGGGCGUGGACGCGGCGCCCCCGCCCCCGGCGCGCCCGCCGCUCUCUCGCUCCGCCAUUCUCCCGGCGCAGCCCAGGCCAUCCGGGCGGGCGGAGCGAGCCGGAGAGGAGGAGGAGGAGGAGGAGGAGGAGGAGGGGAGGGGGAGGGAAAGGAGAAGGAGGGGGAGGGAAGGAAGGAGGAGGAAGGAGAGGAAGAGGAGGAGAAGGAGGAGAAGGGAAAAGGAAGAGGAGGAGGAAGAGGAAGAAAAGGGCGGAGAUGCUGCUGCUGAAGCUGCCAGACCUCUCUGCCCCGCCGCAGGGCCCCCCUCGGUCCUUCCCUCUCCGGAGCCCCCAGCAUUCCCCAGCUGGGCUUCCCCUGGCUCCCGGGGAGUCCAAAGGAGCCCUGGCGAGUCCCAUCUUCGAGAGCUGACCCAGAAGCUCGUCUUCCGGAUCUCUUCCUGCUCUUGCACUGGUAGCAGAAGGAGACCCCAUCUCAGAACCCGGAGCUCCAGGACGGCCUCUGGCCUCUCUCCCGCCUCGGCAUCCCUCCCUUCAGGCAGCACAGUGAACACUGGGUUUGGCCGCCUUGUAAAAUGGGAGGAGGCCCCAGAGUCCUCCCCCCAAAGCCCUGACCUCUGUGGCCCCCUCCCUCUCUCCUCCUGCCCAGUGGGGGAGGGUCUCUGCCCAGCACGCAGACUCCGGACGCCAGGGAGUCCUCCACCUCUGGCGCUGGCCUUUGUCCCGUGUUUCAGGAAGCCAGGCCGCCCCACGCCGCCCCAAUGA